rnacentral:rRNA from 1 species
ACGGGAAUGUAAAAGGGUGUAUGGUGGAUGCCUAGGUUCGAGAAAGCGAUGAAGGACGUGGUAUGGCUGCGAUAAGCGUUGGGAAGGUGCCAAACAACCGUUAUAACCAACGAUGUCCGAAUGGGGAAACCCACCUAUCUUCGAUAGGUACCCAGCUCCACUUUUGUGAUUUAUUGAAUCAAGUACCGUGAGAUGGAAUUAAUCGAUUUUGCAAUGCUUGAUUGAGAUAGAUACCGAAAGUGGGGCUGGGAGCGUACCCGGGGAAGUGAAACAUCUCAGUACCCGGAGGAAAAGAAAGCAAUAUACGGAACUUUCUUUCUGAACAAAUGUCGCUGCUUUGCAGUGACGCCAUUGUGUUCAGGAAGAAGGUUCUUGCCAUUCCCUGAGUAGCGGCGAGCGAAACGGGAACAGCCCAAACCAAUCGUGUUUACAUGAUUGGGGUUGUAGGGUGGUAGCUCCGAUUUAAUUCGGGAAGAGUUACAAAUUGUAGUAAUAGCAAAACACGUUGGGAAGCGUGACCCCAGUAGGUAAUAGUCCUGUAUGCGAAAUUACUACAACUCUUUGGUUGCCAAUCCUGAGUAGCCCGGGACAUGAAUAGCCCGUGUGAAUCUGCCGGCACUAACCGGUAAGGCUAAAUAUUUCUCGAGACCGAUAGUGAACUAGUACCGUGAGGGAAAGGUGAAAAGAACCCCGGAGAGGGGAGUGAAAUAGACCUGAAACCAUACACUUACAAGGAGUCACGGCCCUGCGGGGUUGUGGCGUGCCUAUUGAAGAAUGAGCCGGCGAGUGUAUCUUUGCGCUUUGUCUAAGCGGUAACCCCGCGGAGGCCCAGUGAAAGCGAGCAUUAAUAGUGCGAAUAUAGCGCAAGGAUACGACCCGAAGCGGGAAGAGCUUGCCAUGAGCAGGGUGAAGCGGCAGUAAAAUGCCGUGGAGGCCCGAACCGGUUGGCCGUACAAAACCAUCGGAUGACUUGUGGUAAGGAGUGAAAAGCUUAUCGAAUUCCGUAAUAGCUGGUU